AAGAAUACCCGAGGAUCUGAGAUUGUUACGUUAGACAUAGUUCAAAAUUUACAUCUCGAUUGUUUCGCUCUUCUGGAUGUCCACAAUCUGAAGGGCAUUCGAGGUUAUAACAUUCCUGAACUUGGAAGGCGAAGGCCUAUUCAGAAGCAAUCAUGUCGCUAAACCUGUCUGAAGUCAAAUUAAAUCCGCCGAAUUAUAAAGUAGAGAUUGAGUUGGGAGAGAAUCGAAAGAUUGAAAGGACCUUUUGUACUUGCCUUGCUGGACAGUCACGAAGAGGAUGCAAACACAGUGCAGCUGUUUGCAUUUUUGUGAACCAAGAGUGUACUAGUUCAAAAACUGAUGUUCCUCAAACUUGGAAUAAACCUUCAGAAGUCCAAUGUGAAAAGUAUAUAACAGGCUGUGUAACAGACAAGUUGUUUCCUCAAAAAAUACGCGCUAGAGAUGAACAUUUCUCAUUCGAUGAUGUAACAACCGUACCUCUCGAAUUGUUUUCAAUAGAUUGUGCUUUUAGUAAAUAUUUAGUAAAGCUAAUUAUGAUUCAAUCAAAGUAACCAAAGAUGGUUGGAUUCGAAUUAUUACGGAAUCUCAAGGCCAAUCGUCUUGUUUUCAGAAAUAAUGUAAUAAUCAAUAUUUAUUAUAAUACUCAAGUUCAGACUGCACUGUACGUCACUGGUUUGCAAGAAUGACAUUUUUUCGUGUUUAGUGAGCAUGAUUCAGUACAUUUUAUGGUUGAACGAGAUGAGGUUUCUUUGGGUGAAACAAUUUCUAAAAUUGACUGGUUUUAUUUUACUCAUUUGCUUCCAAUGUUGAAGUAAAUUUUUUAAUAAUUGAAUUAGUGUGGAGGACGACUAUUUUGUAACAUUGAAGAUUGGGCUAAAGAAAAUCUGAAUGGACAAUUCCAAAAAUGUUAAAACGAUCUAAUUUUCAUUUUUCCUUUAUUAAGCAAAGCACGUUUUCCCAGAUUCAUUCACCACCUAUUUUUCCAAGCUUGCUGCUCCUUUUUUAAAAUAUCAUCACGCAUGUUCACAAGUUCGAAUCACAAUAGUUGGGAUAAGGUAAUUUCUAAUUAGUUGUUUCUUUUGUAGGAAACUCAUGUAUGGCGAAUAUAAGUCUACGUUUUUAUGUUUUUUGAAAUAAAUAUAUUAUUUUGAUGCAUC